rnacentral:rRNA from 1 species
GACAUACGGUUCAGACUCCUACGGGAGGCAGCAGUCGGGAAUUUUGGGCAAUGGGCGAAAGCCUGACCCAGCAACGCCGCGUGAAGGAUGAAAUCCUUCGGGAUGUAAACUUCGCAAGAACGGGAAGAAUAAGUGAGAGUUAAUAUCUCUCGCGAUGACGGUACCGUUUGUAAGCUCCGGCUAACUCCGUGCCAGCGGCCGCGGUAAUACGGGGGGAGCAAGCGUUGUUCGGAUUUACUGGGCGUAAAGGGCGCGUAGGCGGCCACCGCAAGUCGACUGUGAAAUCUCCGGGCUUAACCCGGAAAGGUCAGCCGAUACUGCGGGGCUAGAGUGCAGAAGGGGCAACUGGAAUUCUCGGUGUAGCGGUGAAAUGCGUAGAUAUCGAGAGGAACACCUGCGGCGAAGGCGGGUUGCUGGGCUGACACUGACGCUGAGGCGCGAAAGCUAGGGGAGCGAACGGGAUUAGAUACCCCGGUAGUCCUAGCCUUAAACGAUGAAUGCUUGGUGUCUGGGGUUUUAUAGUCCCCGGGUGCCGUCGCUAACGCUUUAAGCAUUCCGCCUGGGGAGUACGGUCGCAAGACUGAAACUCAAAGGAAUUGACGGGGACCCGCACAAGCGGUGGAGCAUGUGGUUUAAUUCGACGCAACGCGAAGAACCUUACCUGGGCUAGAAUGCCUCUGACCGCCCGAGAGAUCGGGUUUCCUGGGUAAAACCAGGCAGAGUGCAAGGUGCUGCAUGGCUGUCGUCAGCU